AGUGAACGCUGGCGGUAGGCCUAACACAUGCAAGUCGAACGGCAGCACAGUAAGAGCUUGCUCUUACGGGUGGCGAGUGGCGGACGAGUGAGGAAUACAUCGGAAUCUACUUUUUCGUGGGGGAUAACGUAGGGAAACUUACGCUAAUACCGCAUACGACCUACGGGUGAAAGCAGGGGAUCUUCGGACCUUGCGCGAUUGAAUGAGCCGAUGUCGGAUUAGCUAGUUGGCGGGGUAAAGGCCCACCAAGGCGACGAUCCGUAGCGGGUCUGAGAGGAUGAUCAGACACACUGGAGCUGAGACACGGUCCAGACUCCUACGGGAGGACGCAGUGGGGAAUAUUGGACAAUGGGCGAGAGCCUGAUCCAGCCAUACCGCGUGGGUGAAGAAGGCCUUCGGGUUGUAAAGCCCUUUUGAUGGGAAAGAAAAGCAGCAGGUUAAUACCCCGCUGUUCUGACGGUACCCAAAGAAUAAGCACCGGCUAACUUCGUG
rnacentral:rRNA from 1 species